UGGGGAAUAUUGGACAAUGGGCGAAAGCCUGAUCCAGCCAUGCCGCGUGUGUGAAGAAGGUCUUCGGAUUGUAAAGCUCUUUAAGUUGGGAGGAAGGGCAGUAAGCGAAUACCUUGCUGUUUUGACGUUACCGACAGAAUGAGCACCGGCUAACUCUGUGCCAGCAGCCGCGGUAAUACAGAGGGUGCAAGCGUUAAUCGGAAUUACUGGGCGUAAAGCGCGCGUAGGUGGUUCGUUAAGUUGAAUGUGAAAGCCCCGGGCUCAACCUGGGAACUGCAUCCAAAACUGGCGGGCUAGAGUAGGGCAGAGGGGGGUGGAAUUUCCUGUGUAGCGGUGAAAUGCGUAGAUAUAGGAAGGAACACCAGUGGCGAAGGCGACCACCUGGGCUCAUACUGACACUGAGGUGCGAAAGCGUGGGGAGCAAACAGG
rnacentral:rRNA from 1 species